rnacentral:rRNA from 1 species
UAAUACGUAGGGGGCGAGCGUUGUCCGGAAUUAUUGGGCGUAAAGAGCUCGUAGGCGGCUUAGUAAGUCGGCGGUGAAAUACCGAGGCUCAACCUCGGCACUGCCGUCGAUACUGCUAUGGCUAGAGUCUGGUAGAGGAGAACGGAAUUCCCGGUGUAGCGGUGGAAUGCGCAGAUAUCGGGAGGAACACCCGUAGCGAAGGCGGUUCUCUGGGCCAGUACUGACGCUGAGGAGCGAAAGCGUGGGGAGCAAACAGGAUUAGAUACCCUGGUAGUCCACGCUGUAAACGUUGGGCACUAGGUGUGGCGACCCGAUCAACGGUUGCCGUGCCGAAGCUAACGCAUUAAGCAUUCCGCCUGGGGAGUACGGUCGCAAGGCUG